UAAAGAGUUACAUCAAAUAAAAGUUACUCAUUUUUUACCAUCGAUUUGCUGGAAUAUUACAAAUCAUUCUUAUACAAGUGGCGAUUUCAGAGCAGUCAUGCAGAUCAAAGUGUUGGCAUGUUUGCUGGUUAUAGCAGUUAUGCUGCAAAUACACCAAUCUGAUGCAUUCCCAUACUACGGUGGUCGCCGUGGAUACAGACGCUGGGGUGGUUACUACCCACGAUAUGGCAACUAUCACAGACGUUAUCCGUAUUGGGGUGGCGGCGGACGCUAUCCCUAUUAUGGUGGCGGUGGGUACUAUGGAGGCGGCGGUGGACACUAUGGCGGCGGCGGUGGACACUAUGGCGGCGGCGGCGGACACUAUGGCGGUCACGGACACCACGGCGGACAUGGACAUGGCCAUGGUGGCUAUUAAUAAAUGUCAUUUAUAAUGAAAUUUGAGAAGGCAUCGUGCAGAAAACUUGUCAAUCAAAAUAAUCUGAAAUGUGAGCAUUCUCAUUAUAAAGAAAAAAAUAAACGAUCAUAACUUUA